GAUGAACGCUGGCGGCGUGCCUAAUACAUGCAAGUCGAGCGAAUGACGAGGAGCUUGCUCCUCUGAUUUAGCGGCGGACGGGUGAGUAACACGUGGGUAACCUGCCUGUAAGACGGGGAUAACUCCGGGAAACCGGAGCUAAUACCGGAUGAUAACGAGAAGCGCCUGCUUCUUUUUUGAAAGUCGGUUUCGGCUGACGCUUACAGAUGGGCCCGCGGCGCAUUAGCGAGUUGGUGAGGGAACGGCUCACCAAGGCGACGAGGCGUAGCCGACCUGAGAGGGUGAUCGGCCACACUGGGACUGAGACACGGCCCAGACUCCUACGGGAGGCAGCAGUAGGGAAUCUUCGGCAAUGGACGAAAGUCUGACCGAGCAAUGCCGCGUGAGGGAUGAAGGCCUUCGGGUCGUAAAGCUCUGUUGUCAGAGAAGAACAAGUACCGGAGUAACUGCCGGUACCUUGACGGUACCGGACGAGAAAGCCACGGCUAACUACGUGCCAGCCGCCGCCGUAAGAC
rnacentral:rRNA from 1 species